GGAUUUAGCUCAGUGGUAGAGCGCUUGCCUAGCAAGCACAAGGCCCUGGGUUCAGUCCCCAGCUCCG
rfam:Rattus norvegicus chromosome 2, whole genome shotgun sequence.